rnacentral:rRNA from 1 species
UUGGUUAAGUUAGAAAGGGCGCACGGUGGAUGCCUUGGCACUAGGAGCCGAAGAAGGACGGGACUAACACCGAUAUGCUUUGGGGAGCUGUACGUAAGCGUUGAUCCAGAGAUUUCCGAAUGGGGGAACCCACUAUCUUUAGUCGGAUAGUAUCCUUACGUGAAUACAUAGCGUGAGGAAGGCAGACCCAGGGAACUGAAACAUCUAAGUACCUGGAGGAAGAGAAAGAAAAAUCGAUUUCCUGAGUAGCGGCGAGCGAAACGGAAAGAGCCCAAACCAAGAAGCUUGCUUCUUGGGGUUGUAGGACACUCUAUACGGAGUUACAAAAGAAAGUUAUAAAUGAAGCGGUCUGGAAAGGCCCGCCAAAGACGGUAACAGCCCGGUAGUUGAAAUGGCUUUCCCUCCAGAGUGGAUCCUGAGUACGGCGGAACACGUGAAAUUCCGUCGGAAUCCGGGAGGACCAUCUCCCAAGGCUAAAUACUCCCUAGUGACCGAUAGUGAACCAGUACCGUGAGGGAAAGGUGAAAAGCACCCCGGAAGGGGAGUGAAACAGUUCCUGAAACCGUGUGCCUACAAGUAGUUAGAGCCCGUUAAUGGGUGAUAGCGUGCCUUUUGUAGAAUGAACCGGCGAGUUACGAUUUGUUGCAAGGUUAAGCGGAAAAAGCGGAGCCGUAGCGAAAGCGAGUCUGAAUAGGGCGCAUAAGUAACAGGUCGUAGACCCGAAACCAGGUGAUCUACCCAUGUCCAGGAUGAAGGUAAGGUAAUACUUACUGGAGGUCCGAACCCACGCACGUUGAAAAGUGCGGGGAUGAGGUGUGGGUAGCGGAGAAAUUCCAAUCGAACUUGGAGAUAGCUGGUUCUCUCCGAAAUAGCUUUAGGGCUAGCCUCGAGGUAAAGAGUCAUGGAGGUAGAGCACUGUUUGGACUAGGGGCCCUUCUCGGGUUACCGAA